rnacentral:tRNA from 1 species
UGCAAUGUAUUUUAUUUAAAAUAUUUACUUUACACGUAAAAGAACCACGGAUGUGGCUUUGUGA